rnacentral:rRNA from 1 species
UACGGGGGGGGCAAGCGUUGUUCGGAAUUACUGGGCGUAAAGGGCUUGUAGGUGGCCAACUAAGUCAGACGUGAAAUCCCUCGGCUUAACCGGGGAACUGCGUCUGAUACUGGAUGGCUUGAGAUUGGGAGAGGGAUGCGGAAUUCCAGGUGUAGCGGUGAAAUGCGUAGAUAUCUGGAGGAACACCGGUGGCGAAGGCGGCAUCCUGGACCAACACUGACACUGAAAAGCGAAAGCCAGGGGAGCAAACGGG